GGAGGGAUGGCCGAGUGGUCGAUGGCGGCGGCCUUGAAAGCCGUUGAGCCGCAAGGCUCCGUGGGUUCGAAUCCUACUCCCUCCGCCA
rnacentral:tRNA from 2 species